ACGUUCAGCCUACAAUUUAUAUAUAUAUCGGAAGUUCGGAACCUCCAAAAGUCUUGCAUCAAAUUACCUAGCUAGGUUCAUAAAAUUUAAUAGUAGCCAAGUCUUUUAUUUGUUUAUUCAGAAGAUGUUACAUAGCUGAUGUCCCAAACCGCGUUUUCACAGCAAACAAGAAGUCGUCAAAGUUUAAAUAUUAUUUUCUUUUGUUUUAUUCACUAUAUACGUUUGAUUUUGUCUGCUUCAAUUUUUAUAUAUGUACACCACUGGUCGACUCGGGAGAUGGAAGAACAACGAAAAUGAAGAAAACAACAACACAAGCUUUUCUUCUUCUAUGCUUGCUUCAUAUAUUUCUAUGUCUAUCAUUUCAGGCUCGUGUCCACGAAGGUAGACAUGAGAUAUGCGUAAGACCCUCCCCACCAUGUGGAGAUUCUCCUAAGGGAGGAAGUGAAGAUCCGGGACAUACGUAUAAAAAGCCUUGCAAACCCAUUCCAAGACCACCCCCUCCUGGAGAUUGCUAGUAGCCUAGCAACGUUGAACUUCCACGGCCUCCCCUUGAAUAAGUUAAUACAUGGGAGCUAGGGAGAAGAACAAUAUAUGAUCAUGAAGAAAACAACAACACAAACUUUUCUUCUUCUGUGUUUGCUCUGUCUAUCCUUUCAGGUUCGUGUCCACCUAGCUGCACCUGCGAUAUGCGUAAAUCCCUCCCCACCAUGUGGAGGUUCUCCUAGAAGUGAAGCUACGAAUGAUGAAAAGCCUUGUAAAACCAUUCGAAGACCACCUCCUCCUCGAGAUUGCUAACAACAUUGAACUUUCAGAAGAAGCCCACCACAGAUAUAAUAACAUCAAUGUUUUUGUUUAUUAACCAUGUCUUCCAAGACUAAUUUGUUUGCAAGCUGUGCAAACGAUAUCACUUAACUUAUGCCUUAUCAUCAUUUUUUUUCCAAAAUUUAUGUAUAUUGGUCCCAAAGUAAAAGAGAGAUAAUACUUAAUAACUAUAUAUGUUAUCACAUAUAUCGCUACUUGUAAAAUUCAUGCACCUAUAUGAUAGAUUUAAAACAAAUAAAAACCAUAUAAGCCCUCAUCAUCAAUACAAUAAAAACACAAUACUUGUUUUCCUCUACACAUCAGCUUCUGUAUUGAAGCAAGUACACAUCAGCUUCUGUAUUGAAGUAGGUGUUGACACCUCAACAAAAAUGAACAACCUAGAUCAGCUUUUCUCUUCCUUAUGGGUAGACAAAGGAAAUCAUAACACUGUGUUUAAUCAAUUGCUAAAUGAAGAUGAAGAUCGAACAAGGAGAAGAGAAGGAGAAUUGAUCAUCCGUAAAAAAAACAAACGAAAGCCAAAGUGGAGCAAGUUUAGAAGCCGUGGACGGUCACAAGAUAAGUAUAUGAUUCCUUUUUUUUGUCUGUCCUGUAUGCACUAAGAGGGUGGGAUUGAAUAUCGUUGGGCAUAUUACGACGCAACAUGCCAAUUUUUUUAAG